rnacentral:rRNA from 1 species
UUUCUGCUCAAUGGGUGCUAAAUAGCCGCAGUAACUUGACUGUGCAAAGGUAGCAUAAUAAUUUGGCUUAUAAUUGAAGUCUGGUAUGAAUGAAUAUAUGGGUACCAACUGUCUCCGUUAUAUAAUAUGAAUUUACUGAUUGGGUGCAAAUUCCCAUCUCAAGAUAAUAGACGAGAAGACCCUAGAAAUUUUCAACUUACACUUUUUGCUGGGGCGGCAGAAUAACAUGAAACUUAUUUUACUAUAUUAUCUAACAUAUUACGAAAAAGCAAUUACUCUAGGGAUAACAGCAUAAUUUAUUUAGUUUGUGACCUCGAUGUUGGACUAAGGUAAUUACUAUUCAGAAGAUAGUAAUUGAUGCUCUGUUCGAGCAAAACUUCCU